rnacentral:rRNA from 1 species
AUUGAACGCUGGCGGCAGGCCUAACACAUGCAAGUCGAGCGGAUGAAGGGAGCUUGCUCCUGGAUUCAGCGGCGGACGGGUGAGUAAUGCCUAGGAAUCUGCCUGGUAGUGGGGGAUAACGUCCGGAAACGGGCGCUAAUACCGCAUACGUCCUGAGGGAGAAAGUGGGGGAUCUUCGGACCUCACGCUAUCAGAUGAGCCUAGGUCGGAUUAGCUAGUUGGUGGGGUAAAGGCCUACCAAGGCGACGAUCCGUAACUGGUCUGAGAGGAUGAUCAGUCACACGGGAACGGAACAACGGCCAGGCCUCCACGGGGAGCCAGAAGGGGGGAUUUUUGAACAAGGGGAACAAGCUGGACCCAGCCAUGCGGGGGGUGGAAAGAAGGUCUUGGAAUUGAAAAGCAUUUUAAGUGGGGAGAAAGGGAAAAAAUUAAAUACCUUCUUGUUUUGAGUUAACAAAAAAAAAAGCCCCCGACAAACUUCGUC